AUGAAGAUAUAUGUUCCCACUUUAUUUUUGUUCCUGUGGCUGCAGCUGGAUGGGCUGAGCCAAGGAGAGCAGGUGGAGCAGCUUCCUUCCACCCUGAGUGUCCAGGAGGGAGACAGCGCUGUCAUCAACUGCACUUACACAGACAGUGCAUCAGACUACUUCCCUUGGUAUAAGCAAGGAGCUGGAGAGCAUCCUAAACUCAUUAUUGACAUUCGAUCAACCAUGGAAAGAAAGCAGGACCAAAGACUGAUAGUUUUACAGGAUAAGAAAGCCAAACACUUCUCCCUGCACAUCACAGACACCCAGCCUGGGGACUCUGCCAUGUACUUCUGUGCUGCAAGUGCACACUGCUCCCCAGACACCUGCAGCCUGUCCUCAAACCUGCCACAGGGCCUGGAGCCCCAUCCACAUCCUGUGUCACAGGCCUUCCAGCAGCCAUUGUCAGUUAUUAGUUCACAAGUGCCAACUAUAGUGUAG